UACAGAGGGUGCAAGCGUUGUUCGGAAUCAUUGGGCGUAAAGGGCUCGUAGGCGGUUUGUCGCGUCGGGAGUGAAAACACUGGGCUUAACCCAGUGCUUGCUUUCGAUACGGGCAGACUAGAGGUAUGCAGGGGAGAACGGAAUUCCUGGUGUAGCGGUGAAAUGCGCAGAUAUCAGGAGGAACACCGGUGGCGAAGGCGGUUCUCUGGGCAUGAUCUGACGCUGAGGAGCGAAAGUGUGGGGAGCGAACAGG
rnacentral:rRNA from 1 species